rnacentral:rRNA from 1 species
AUUGAACGCUGGCGGCAGGCCUAACACAUGCAAGUCGAGCGGUAGAGAGGUGCUUGCACCUCUUGAGAGCGGCGGACGGGUGAGUAAAGCCUAGGAAUCUGCCUGGUAGUGGGGGAUAACGCUCGGAAACGGACGCUAAUACCGCAUGCGUCCUACGGGAGAAAGCAGGGGACCUUCGGGCCUUGCGCUAUCAGAUGAGC